CCUACGGGAGGCAGCAGUGAGGAAUAUUGGUCAAUGGGCGCGAGCCUGAACCAGCCAAGUAGCGUGAAGGAUGACUGCCCUACGGGUUGUAAACUUCUUUUAUAAAGGAAUAAAGUGAGGCACGUGUGCCUUUUUGUAUGUACUUUAUGAAUAAGGAUCGGCUAACUCCGUGCCAGCAGCCGCGGUAAUACGGAGGAUCCGAGCGUUAUCCGGAUUUAUUGGGUUUAAAGGGAGCGUAGAUGGGUUGUUAAGUCAGUUGUGAAAGUUUGCGGCUCAACCGUAAGAUUGCAAUUGAUACUGGAAGACUUGAGUACAGUUGAGGUAGGCGGAAUUCGUGGUGUAGCGGUGAAAUGCUUAGAUAUCACGAAGAACUCCGAUUGCGAAGGCAGCUUACUAAACUGCCACUGACAUUGAUGCUCGAAAGUGUGGGUAUCAAAAAGGAUUAGAUACCCGUGUAGUC
rnacentral:rRNA from 1 species